GAUGAACGCUAGCGGCAGGCCUAAUACAUGCAAGUCGAACGGUGUCUUCGGACAUAGUGGCGCACGGGUGCGUAACACGUAUGCAACCUACCUUACAUUGGGGGAUAGCCUUUCGAAAGGGGGAUUAAUACCGCAUAAGACAGUAGCUGGGCAUCCAGCAGCUGUUAAAGAUUUAUCGAUGUAAGCUGGGCAUGCGUCCAAUUAGCUAGUUGGAGAGGUAACGGCUCACCAAGGCAAUGAUUGGUAGGGGAACUGAGAGGUCAAUCCCCCACACUGGCACGAAGGUACGGGCCAGACUCCUACGGGAGGCAGCAGUAGGGAAACUUGGGCAAUGGACGCAAGUCAGACCCAGCCAUGCCGCAUGCAGGAUGAAGGCGUUAUGCGUUGUAAACUGCUUUUAUACAGGAAGAAACGACUCUUGCGAGAUGGAUUGACGGUACUGUAUGAAUAAGCACCGGCUAACUCCGUGCCAGCAGCCGCCGUAAAAC
rnacentral:rRNA from 1 species